rnacentral:rRNA from 1 species
AUUGCCCCAGUAACGGCGAGUGAAGCGGCAACAGCUCAAAUUUGAAAUCUGGCCUUCUGGUCCGAGUUGUAAUUUGUAGAGGAUGCUUUUGGUGAGGUGCCUUCCGAGUUUCCUGGAACGGGACGCCAUAGAGGGUGAGAGCCCCGUCUGGUUGGACACCGAGCCUCUGUAAAGCUCCUUCGACGAGUCGAGUAGUUUGGGAAUGCUGCUCAAAAUGGGAGGUAUAUGUCUUCUAAAGCUAAAUAUUGGCCAGAGACCGAUAGCGCACAAGUAGAGUGAUCGAAAGAUGAAAAGCACUUUGAAAAGAGGGUUAAAUAGUACGUGAAAUUGUUGAAAGGGAAGCACUUAUGACCAGACUUGGGCCCGGUGAAUCAUCCAGCGUUCUCGCUGGUGCACUUCGCCGGCCCAGGCCAGCAUCAGUUCGUCCCGGGGGACAAAGGCUUCGGGAACGUAGCUCCUUCGGGAGUGUUAUAGACCGUUGCGUAAUACCCUGGGGUGGACUGAGGUUCGCGCUUCCGCAAGGAUGCUGGCGUAAUGGUCAUCAGCGACCCGUCUUGAAACACGGACCAAGGAGUCGUCUUCGUAUGCGAGUGUUCGGGUGUCAAACCCCUACGCGUAAUGAAAGUGAACGCAGGUGAGAGCUUCGGCGCAUCAUCGACCGAUCCUGAUGUUCUCGGAUGGAUUUGAGUAAGAGCAUACGGGGCCGGACCCGAAAGAAGGUGAACUAUGCCUGUAUAGGGUGAAGCCAGAGGAAACUCUGGUGGAGGCUCGCAGCGGUUCUGACGUGCAAAUCGAUCGUCAAAUAUGGGCAUGGGGGCGAAAGACUAAU